AUUGAACGCUGGCGGCAUGCCUUACACAUGCAAGUCGAACGGCAGCACGGACUUCGGUCUGGCGGCGAGUGGCGAACGGGAGAGUAAUAUAUCGGAACAUACCUUGUAGUGGGGGAUAACUAUCCGAAAGGAUAGCUAAUACCGCAUACGCUCUAAGGAGGAAAGUGGGGGAUCGCAAGACCUCAUGCUAUAAGAGUGGCCGAUAUCUGAUUAGCUAGUUGGUGAGGUAAAGGCUCACCAAGGCAACGAUUAGUAGCUGGUCUGAAAGGACGACCAGCCACACUGGAACUGAGACACGGUCCAGACUCCUACGGGAGGCAGCAGUGGGGAAUUUUGGACAAUGGGGGCAACCCUGAUCCAGCAAUGCCGCGUGAGUGAAGAAGGCCUUCGGGUUGCAAAGCUCUUUUGUCAGGGAAGAAACGGUUGUGGCUAAUAUCCAUGGCUAAUGACGGUACCUGAAGAAUAAGCACCGGCUAACUACGUGCCAGCCGCCGCCGUAAGAC
rnacentral:rRNA from 1 species